UACGAAGGGGGCUAGCGUUGCUCGGAAUUACUGGGCGUAAAGGGCGCGUAGGCGGCACUGUUAGUCAGGCGUGAAAGUCCUGGGCUCAACCUGGGAACUGCGCUUGAUACGGCAGAGCUAGAGGAUGGAAGAGGCUCGCGGAAUUCCCAGUGUAGAGGUGAAAUUCGUAGAUAUUGGGAAGGACACCGGUGGCGAAGGCGGCGAGCUGGUCCAUUACUGACGCUGAGGCGCGACAGCGUGGGGAGCAAACAGG
rnacentral:rRNA from 1 species